rnacentral:rRNA from 1 species
AGAGUUUGAUCCUGGCUCAGGACGAACGCUGGCGGCGCGCCUAACACAUGCAAGUCGAACGGAGCUGAGAGGAGCUUGCUUUUCUUAGCUUAGUGGCGAACGGGUGAGUAACGCGUGAGUAACCUGCCCUGGAGUGGGGGACAACAGUUGGAAACGACUGCUAAUACCGCAUAAGCCCACGGAUCCGCAUGGAUCUGCGGGAAAAGGAUUUAUUCGCUUCAGGAUGGACUCGCGUCCAAUUAGCUAGUUGGUGAGGUAACGGCCCACCAAGGCGACGAUUGGUAGCCGGACUGAGAGGUUGAACGGCCACAUUGGGACUGAGACACGGCCCAGACUCCUACGGGAGGCAGCAGUGGGGAAUAUUGCACAAUGGGGGAAACCCUGAUGCAGCGACGCCGCGUGGAGGAAGAAGGUUUUCGGAUUGUAAACUCCUGUCGUUAGGGACGAUAAUGACGGUACCUAACAAGAAAGCACCGGCUAACUACGUGCCAGCAGCCGCGGUAAAACGUAGGGUGCAAGCGUUGUCCGGAAUUACUGGGUGUAAAGGGAGCGCAGGCGGACCGGCAAGUUGGAAGUGAAAACUAUGGGCUCAACCCAUAAAUUGCUUUCAAAACUGCUGGCCUUGAGUAGUGCAGAGGUAGGUGGAAUUCCCGGUGUAGCGGUGGAAUGCGUAGAUAUCGGGAGGAACACCAGUGGCGAAGGCGGCCUACUGGGCACCAACUGACGCUGAGGCUCGAAAGUGUGGGUAGCAAACAGGAUUAGAUACCCUGGUAGUCCACACUGUAAACGAUGAUUACUAGGUGUUGGAGGAUUGACCCCUUCAGUGCCGCAGUUAACACAAUAAGUAAUCCACCUGGGGAGUACGACCGCAAGGUUGAAACUCAAAGGAAUUGACGGGGGCCCGCACAAGCAGUGGAGUAUGUGGUUUAAUUCGAAGCAACGCGAAGAACCUUACCAGGUCUUGACAUCCGAUGCAUAGUGCAGAGAUGCAUGAAGUCCUUCGGGACAUCGAGACAGGUGGUGCAUGGUUGUCGUCAGCUCGUGUCGUGAGAUGUUGGGUUAA